GCUAUUCAAGUGAGUCCGGCAACUCUCCUCCAAGGCGACGAGUUCGCUUGGACACGCAUUCGUCAACGGAGGAGAGGUAUUCCGGCCCUGUUCCUACAGCGGGAGAGGAGGAAGUCGGGGGUGGACACCAUGAAUCGUCUAAUCCUACUGUUGCAUCAAGAGGUCGUCAGCAACCAUCCACAAGGCGCCGGGGAGCACGCGGC